GACGAACGCUGGCGGCGUGCUUAACACAUGCAAGUCGAGCGGUAAGGCCCUUUCGGGGGUACGACGAGCGGCGAACGGGUGAGUAACACGUGGGUGACCUGCCCUCAGCUCUGGGAUAAGCCUGGGAAACCGGGUCUAAUACUGGAUAUGACUCCAUGACGCAUGUUGUGGGGUGGAAAGCCUUGUGCGGCUGAGGAUGGGCCCGCGGCCUAUCAGCUUGUUGGUGGGGUGANGGCCUACCAAGGCGACGACGGGUAGCCGGCCUGAGAGGGCGACCGGCCACACUGGGACUGAGACACGGCCCAGACUCCUACGGGAGGCAGCAGUGGGGAAUCUUGCGCAAUGGGCGAAAGCCUGACGCAGCGACGCCGCGUGAGGAAUGACGGCCU
rnacentral:rRNA from 1 species